CAAAAUGCGCCCUGACACUUUUGUGUCGGUGGACAGCGAACUGCCACAGCAAGGUGGCAUGUUUGUCAACCCAUUGUGAACUUAUACCUUUUGCUUCGGCAGCACUCUCAGCGGGCAACCGCUGGAGAGGUAAGGCUGUCAGAGGCCCAUAUCAAAACCAGUUGAUGAAAUGUCAUGCUGUCUGAUAAACCACUUUUGAGAAAUCAAAUGUAUAUUA
rnacentral:misc_RNA from 1 species